UACGUAGGGGGGCAAGCGUUGUCCGGAAUCAUUGGGCGUAAAGAGCGCGCAGGCGGUCGUUCAAGUCGCGUGUGAAAGCCCCCGGCUCAACUGGGGAGGGUCACGCGAUACUGAUCGACUCGAAGGCAGGAGAGGGUAGUGGAAUUCCCGGUGUAGUGGUGAAAUGCGUAGAUAUCGGGAGGAACACCAGUGGCGAAGGCGACUACCUGGCCUGUUCUUGACGCUGAGGCGCGAAAGCUAGGGGAGCAAACGGG
rnacentral:rRNA from 1 species